AGGAUAAAGGAUCAUGAAAUAGAAGCGGAGGCUAGCCAGCAGAGAACUCUGGCUUAUAUUCUAUGGGAAAGGGGAAGACAUUGUUUGAACAGCAGCCCGACGUAAUUGUUCUUCUGGGCGAAGACAGACUUCAGGACGAGCUAUGAAGUACAGGAUCAAGGCACCAGCACCCAGUGCCUGGCAGGAGCCUCCUCCUGAGUCUUCACAUGGCAGAAGAACAGAGAGAGAAGGAUGGAAGCCAGUUCCCACUGUCCUUCAAAGCACUGAUCCAGUGGAGCAGGCAGAGCCUCCAGCUUCAGUCCCAUCCCAAAGGCAGCACCUCAGGACAUGGCCAAAGGAGUCUUAAAGAGGAGACAGCUGUGCACAGGCACAGGUCACAGCAAAGCGAGGACUGAGAAGGGACCAUUGGGUUUAACCAUAUGGAGAACAGAGCCUCUUUUAGCAAUGGUUUCAGCUUGCUUGGAGUCCAUUGAAGACAGCCCAGAAGAAACAAACGGAAGACUGGAGACAACUCUAAGAAAUGCUGCUGUACUAAGGCAUCAGAGAUAGAGUAUUAGAGAACAAGGAACGUGGAGGGCCCAAAAUAAGUUGAUUGUAAAUGAGAAAAGUAACAGCACAUUUGUGUGCUACUAGGAGUAAUCCUUUACAGUCUGAAAAAAAAUGAUGAGACAUUUAAAAAGAGAGAAAAGCUCAAGUGAUCCCUGCUACCAGGCAUAAUGUAAACAGCAAAUAGCUGAUUAGCAGCAAGAUGUCUGGUCUCCGACUGUCUGAGGUUCUAUUUAGCUACUUUAUUCUCUUCAACCCUCAGUCUUCCUUUAAAAGGAGCCAGGACUUCAACCCUGUCACAUUCUGACUCCUUGCCACCGAAAGAUACUCAAGAAUACUAAGCAAAUGAGCUUCCAAAGAAGCUCAAGGAUGUGGUGAAUGGUACCCAAUAUAGAAUGACCUAGACUUCUGGGUCAAAGAUAUGAGAGAAGCUAUUGAAUCAGUACAAGAGAAGAAUGUGAGCUCAGGAAGUUGGAGUUUCAUUUCUGCUGUUUUUAUUCUCCCCAGACUUCAUCAAUACCCACGUACACAUCAAAAACCGCAAGUUGGUAUGAAAAGUAAAUUUGUUUGGCAGUCUUGAAUUCUGACACAUUUCUUU